UACGUAGGGUGCAAGCGUUGUCCGGAAUUAUUGGGCGUAAAGAGCUCGUAGGCGGUUUGUUGCGUCGGCUGUGAAAUCCCGAGGCUCAACCUCGGGUCUGCAGUCGAUACGAGCAAACUAGAGUGUUGCAGGGGAGACUGGAAUUCCUGGUGUAGCGGUGAAAUGCGCAGAUAUCAGGAGGAACACCGGUGGCGAAGGCGGGUCUCUGGGCCGUAACUGACGCUGGAGGAGCGGAAAAGCAUGGGGAGCGAACAGG
rnacentral:rRNA from 1 species